rnacentral:rRNA from 1 species
GGGUUGUGAGGUUAAGCGACUAAGCGUACACGGUGGAUGCCCUGGCAGUCAGAGGCGAUGAAGGGCGUGCUAAUCUGCGAUAAGCGCCGGUAAGGUGAUAUGAACCGUUAUAACCGGCGAUACCCGAAUGGGGAAACCCAGUGUGAUUCGUCACACUAUCAUUAACUGAAUCCAUAGGUUAAUGAGGCGAACCGGGGGAACUGAAACAUCUAAGUACCCCGAGGAAAAGAAAUCAACCGAGAUUCCCCCAGUAGCGGCGAGCGAACGGGGAGGAGCCCAGAGCCUGAAUCAGCAUGUGUGUUAGUGGAAGCGUCUGGAAAGGCGCGCGAUACAGGGUGACAGCCCCGUACACAAAAGCGCAUGUGCUGUGAGCUCGAUGAGUAGGGCGGGACACGUGGUAUCCUGUCUGAAUAUGGGGGGACCAUCCUCCAAGGCUAAAUACUCCUGACUGACCGAUAGUGAACCAGUACCGUGAGGGAAAGGCGAAAAGAACCCCGGCGAGGGGAGUGAAAAAGAACCUGAAACCGUGUACGUACAAGCAGUGGGAGCCCCACCACUAAGCCAGUGGUGAACUCCACAUACGCAUCCUUUGCUGAAGGCAAUGGUUAACGGAGCGAAAGCGACGUUCAACCGCAAAACAAGCAGAGGGGGCUUAGUGGUGGGGUGACUGCGUACCUUUUGUAUAAUGGGUCAGCGACUUAUAUUCUGUAGCAAGGUUAACCGUAUAGGGGAGCCGGAGGGAAACCGAGUCUUAAUUGGGCGUUAAGUUGCAGGGUAUAGACCCGAAACCCGGUGAUCUAGCCAUGGGCAGGUUGAAGGUUGGGUAACACUAACUGGAGGACCGAACCGACUAAUGUUGAAAAAUUAGCGGAUGACCUGUGGCUGGGGGUGAAAGGCCAAUCAAACCGGGAGAUAGCUGGUUCUCCCCGAAAGCUAUUUAGGUAGCGCCUCGUGAAUUCAUCUCCGGGGGUAGAGCACUGUUUCGGCUAGGGGGCCAUCCCGGCUUACCAACCCGAUGCAAACUGCGAAUACCGGAGAAUGUUAUCACGGGAGACACACGGCGGGUGCUAACGUCCGUCGUGAAGAGGGAAACAACCCAGACCGCCAGCUAAGGUCCCAAAGUCAUGGUUAAGUGGGAAACGAUGUGGGAAGGCCCAGACAGCCAGGAUGUUGGCUUAGAAGCAGCCAUCAUUUAAAGAAAGCGUAAUAGCUCACUGGUCGAGUCGGCCUGCGCGGAAGAUGUAACGGGGCUAAACCAUGCACCGAAGCUGCGGCAGCGACACUCAGGUGUUGUUGGGUAGGGGAGCGUUCUGUAAGCCUGUGAAGGUGUGUCGUGAGGCAUGCUGGAGGUAUCAGAAGUGCGAAUGCUGACAUAAGUAACGAUAAAGCGGGUGAAAAGCCCGCUCGCCGGAAGACCAAGGGUUCCUGUCCAACGUUAAUCGGGGCAGGGUGAGUCGACCCCUAAGGCGAGGCCGAAAGGCGUAGUCGAUGGGAAACAGGUUAAUAUUCCUGUACUUGGUGUUACUGCGAAGGGGGGACGGAGAAGGCUAUGUUGGCCGGGCGACGGUUGUCCCGGUUUAAGCGUGUAGGUGUGUGUUCCAGGUAAAUCCGGUUCACUUUAACACUGAGGCGUGACGACGAGGCACUACGGUGCUGAAGCAACAAAUGCCCUGCUUCCAGGAAAAGCCUCUAAGCAUCAGGUAACAUCAAAUCGUACCCCAAACCGACACAGGUGGUCAGGUAGAGAAUACCAAGGCGCUUGAGAGAACUCGGGUGAAGGAACUAGGCAAAAUGGUGCCGUAACUUCGGGAGAAGGCACGCUGACACGUAGGUGAAGUGAUUUACUCAUGGAGCUGAAGUCAGUCGAAGAUACCAGCUGGCUGCAACUGUUUAUUAAAAACACAGCACUGUGCAAACACGAAAGUGGACGUAUACGGUGUGACGCCUGCCCGGUGCCGGAAGGUUAAUUGAUGGGGUCAGCGCAAGCGAAGCUCCUGAUCGAAGCCCCGGUAAACGGCGGCCGUAACUAUAACGGUCCUAAGGUAGCGAAAUUCCUUGUCGGGUAAGUUCCGACCUGCACGAAUGGCGUAAUGAUGGCCAGGCUGUCUCCACCCGAGACUCAGUGAAAUUGAACUCGCUGUGAAGAUGCAGUGUACCCGCGGCAAGACGGAAAGACCCCGUGAACCUUUACUAUAGCUUGACACUGAACAUUGAGCCUUGAUGUGUAGGAUAGGUGGGAGGCUUUGAAGCGUGGACGCCAGUCUGCGUGGAGCCGACCUUGAAAUACCACCCUUUAAUGUUUGAUGUUCUAACGUGGACCCGUAAUCCGGGUUGCGGACAGUGUCUGGUGGGUAGUUUGACUGGGGCGGUCUCCUCCUAAAGAGUAACGGAGGAGCACGAAGGUUGGCUAAUCCUGGUCGGACAUCAGGAGGUUAGUGCAAUGGCAUAAGCCAGCUUGACUGCGAGCGUGACGGCGCGAGCAGGUGCGAAAGCAGGUCAUAGUGAUCCGGUGGUUCUGAAUGGAAGGGCCAUCGCUCAACGGAUAAAAGGUACUCCGGGGAUAACAGGCUGAUACCGCCCAAGAGUUCAUAUCGACGGCGGUGUUUGGCACCUCGAUGUCGGCUCAUCACAUCCUGGGGCUGAAGUAGGUCCCAAGGGUAUGGCUGUUCGCCAUUUAAAGUGGUACGCGAGCUGGGUUUAGAACGUCGUGAGACAGUUCGGUCCCUAUCUGCCGUGGGCGCUGGAGAACUGAGGGGGGCUGCUCCUAGUACGAGAGGACCGGAGUGGACGCAUCACUGGUGUUCGGGUUGUCAUGCCAAUGGCACUGCCCGGUAGCUAAAUGCGGAAGAGAUAAGUGCUGAAAGCAUCUAAGCACGAAACUUGCCCCGAGAUGAGUUCUCCCUGAGACUUAGAGUCUCCUGAAGGAACGUUGAAGACGACGACGUUGAUAGGCCGGGUGUGUAAGCGCAGCGAUGCGUUGAGCUAACCGGUACUAAUGAACCGUGAGGCUUAACCUUACAACGCCGAAG